rnacentral:rRNA from 1 species
GCUUAUGGCCAUACCACCCUGAGCACGCCCGAUCUCAUCUGAUCUCGGAAGCUAAGCAGUGUCGGGCCUGGUUAGAACUUCGAUGGGAGACCGCCUGGGAAUACCAGGUGCUGUAAGCU